AACACAUGCAAGUCGAACGGGGGAAGGUAGCUUGCUACUUAACCUAGCGGCGGACGGGUGAGUAAUGCUUAGGAAUCUGCCUAUUAGUGGGGACAACAUCUCGAAAGGGAUGCUAAUACCGCAUACGUCCUACGGGAGAAAGCAGGGGACCUUCGGGCCUUGCGCUAAUAGAUGAGCCUAAGUCGGAUUAGCUAGUUGGUGGGGUAAAGGCCUACCAAGGCGACGAUCUGUAGCGGGUCUGAGAGGAUGAUCCGCCACACUGGGACUGAGACACGGCCCAGACUCCUACGGGAGGCAGCAGUGGGGAAUAUUGGACAAUGGGGGGAACCCUGAUCCAGCCAUGCCGCGUGUGUGAAGAAGGCCUUUUGGUUGUAAAGCACUUUAAGCGAGGAGGAGGCUACCGAGAUUAAUACUCUUGGAUAGUGGACGUUACUCGCAGAAUAAGCACCGGCUAACUCUGUGCCAGCAGCCGCGGUAAUAC
rnacentral:rRNA from 1 species